rnacentral:lncRNA from 1 species
CCCUGACCCGCCCCCUCCCAGAGUGCUUUGUGUCAGCUCUGGCCGAGUGGACAAGUGGACGCAGCUGGCUGCUGGACUUCGGGACUUCUCUCUCUGGAUCCCAUCCUGCCUGCGACACAGGGACAGGAAUGCAGCUGGCAGCAGCCUAUGGGGGCAGUCAGAAUCUGAGUCACGGGCCUCCCUGCGCUGAGGAGCUUUCUGGAGAAGGCACUUUACCUGACAUCAGGGACUGCUCCACCCUUCAGAUCAAGUGCAUCGUUAGCAUGAUUUCUUCCUUAGACUGGAAGCUCCUUGGAGGCAGGACUUGUGCUUCCCCUCUGAAAAAUUCUUGGGUUGUGAAGCUUUAUUCUUGGGUUGUGAAGCCGAAGAAGCCUCUGGAAGCCUGUCAUCGGUGAAUGACAAGAAUUGGAAACCAAGGCUGCCAAAGAUCACACAGCUAGUUUAAAUGGUGAAGCUGCAAUUCUUACCCGGGAGCAAGCCAUCAAGGCUGGAGCUGGUGGGUG